rnacentral:misc_RNA from 1 species
AAGUCGUAACAAGGUCUCCGCAGGUGAACCUGCGGAGGGAUCAUUAACACUUUUCUAUGAGAGAGGAAACUCUUUCUGUCCACUCGUGAACUAACUUAUGCCCCGAUUGGUUUAUAAUUUAUUUUAUAGGCUGAUCAACAAUUUUUCUAUUGUUAUCUAAAACCUUUUCCAACCGCUAACGCUAUAAACAAGCAAUAUUAUAUAUGAAAAUAUAUAAUAUGGUGAUAUAGUAAAAUCUAAGCACAACUCUUAGCAACGGAUAUCUCGGUUCUC